rnacentral:rRNA from 1 species
AUACGGAGGGGGCUAGCGUUGUUCGGAAUUACUGGGCGUAAAGCGUACGUAGGCGGACUGAUCAGUUGGGGGUGAAAUCCCAGGGCUUAACCCUGGAACUGCCUUCAAUACUGUCAGUCUUGAGAUUGGAAGAGGUGAGUGGAAUUCCUAGUGUAGAGGUGAAAUUCAUAGAUAUUAGGAGGAACACCAGUGGCGAAGGCGGCUCACUGGUCCAAUACUGACGCUCAGGUACGAAAGCGUGGGGAGCAAACAGGAUUAGAAACCCUAGUAGUCC